UACGAAGGGGGCUAGCGUUGCUCGGGAUUACUGGGCGUAAAGGGCGCGUAGGCGGACAGUUUAGUCAGAGGUGAAAGCCCAGGGCUCAACCUUGGAAUUGCCUUUGAUACUGGCUGUCUUGAGUUCGGGAGAGGUGAGUGGAAUGCCGAGUGUAGAGGUGAAAUUCGUAGAUAUUCGGCGGAACACCAGUGGCGAAGGCGACUCACUGGCCCGAUACUGACGCUGAGGCGCGAAAGCGUGGGGGAGCAAACAGG
rnacentral:rRNA from 1 species